AACGAACGCUGGCGGCAGGCUUAACACAUGCAAGUCGAACGCCCCGCAAGGGGAGUGGCAGACGGGUGAGUAACGCGUGGGAACAUACCCUUUCCUGCGGAAUAGCUCUGGGAAACUGGAAUUAAUACCGCAUACGCCCUACGGGGGAAAGAUUUAUCGGGGAAGGAUUGGCCCGCGUUGGAUUGGCUAGUUGGUGGGGUAAAGGCCUACCAAGGCGACGAUCCAUAGCUGGUCUGAGAGGAUGAUCAGCCACAUUGGGACUGAGACACGGCCCAAACUCCUACGGGAGGCAGCAGUGGGGAAUAUUGGACGAUGGGCGCAAGCCUGAUCCAGCCAUGCCGCGUGAGUGAUGAAGGCCUUAGGGUUGUAAAGCUCUUUCACCGAUGAAGAUAAUGACGGUAGUCGGAGAAGAAGCCCCGGCUAACUUCGUGCCAGCAGCCGCCGUAAUAC
rnacentral:rRNA from 1 species